rnacentral:rRNA from 1 species
GCCUACGGGACGCAGCAGUAGGGAAUUUUCGUCAAUGGGCGCAAGCCUGAACGAGCAAUGCCGCGUGAACGAGGAAGGUCUUCGGAUCGUAUAGUUCUGUUGAAGGGGAAAAAGAGCGGAGAGAGGAAAUGCUUUCUGAUUGAUAUUACCCUUCGAGGAAGUCACGGCUAACUACGUGCCAGCAGCCGCGGUAAUACGUAGGUGGCGAGCGUUAUCCGGAAUGAUUGGGCGUAAAGGGUGCGUAGGCGGCCUGCUAAGUCUGGAGUGAAAGGUACCGGCUCAACCGGUACAGGCUCUGGAAACUG